rnacentral:rRNA from 1 species
CCUACGGGCUGCAGCAGUGGGGAAUAUUGGACAAUGGGCGAAAGCCUGAUCCAGCCAUGCCGCGUGUGUGAAGAAGGCCUUCGGGUUGUAAAGCACUUUCAGUGGGGAAGAAAGCCUUGGGGCUAAUACCCUCGAGGAAGGACAUCACCCACAGAAGAAGCACCGGCUAACUCCGUGCCAGCAGCCGCGGUAAUACGGAGGGUGCGAGCGUUAAUCGGAAUUACUGGGCGUAAAGCGCGCGUAGGCGGUCUGAUAAGCCGGUUGUGAAAGCCCCGGGCUCAACCUGGGAACGGCAUCCGGAACUGUCAGGCUAGAGUGCAGGAGAGGAAGGUAGAAUUCCCGGUGUAGCGGUGAAAUGCGUAGAGAUCGGGAGGAAUACCAGUGGCGAAGGCGGCCUUCUGGACUGACACUGACGCUGAGGUGCGAAAGCGUGGGUAGCAAACAGGAGUAGAUACCCUUGUAGUC